CCCCUCUCAGGGUCGCACCUGGAGAGUUUCCAGUUCUCUACCAGCCUCGACUAUGGGAGGGAGAGUUAAGCAGAGGCAUUUCCAUUCCUAGUUUGGGCAGUGGCUAGCAGGUGGAAGGCAACCUGCUACAAGU